GACGAACGCUGGCGGCGUGCCUAAUACAUGCAAGUGGAACGCAAUUGAUUCUCCCGUAGCUUGCUACAUUUGAAUUGAUUGAGUCGCGAACGGGUGAGUAACGCGUAGGUAACCUACCUUAUAGCGGGGGAUAACUAUUGGAAACGAUAGCUAAUACCGCAUAAGAGUUGACAACACAUGUUGUUAAUUUAAAAGGAGCAAUUGCUUCACUAUGAGAUGGACCUGCGUUGUAUUAGCUAGUUGGUAAGGUAACGGCUUACCAAGGCCUCGAUACAUAGCCGACCUGAGAGGGUGAUCGGCCACACUGGGACUGAGACACGGCCCAG
rnacentral:rRNA from 1 species